rnacentral:rRNA from 1 species
UUGACCUCAAAUCAGGUAGGACUACCCGCUGAACUUAAGCAUAUCAAUAAGCGGAGGAAAAGAAACUAACAAGGAUUCCCCUAGUAACUGCGAGUGAACCGGGAAAAGCUCAAAUUUUGAAUCUGGCGGUCUUUCGGCCGUCCGAGUUGUAAUCUAGAGAAGCGUCUUCCGCGCUGGA